UAGAUGCGAGAGUAGAGCAUAUCAAUAAGCGGAGGAAAAGAAACUAACUAGGAUUCCCUCAGUAACGGCGAGUGAAGCGGGAAGAGCUCAAAUUUGAAAUCUUCAAGGUUCUACCUUGACGAAUUGUAGUUUAUAGAAGUGUUUUCUGUUAGUAGAGUGGCAAAAGUUCUUUGGAAUAGGACAUCAUAGAGGGUGAGAAUCCCGUAUUUGGUCAUUCUUUCUAGCUUUGUGAUACACUUUCAACGAGUCGGAUUGUUUGGGAAUGCAGUCCAAAAUGGGUGGUAAAUUUCAUCUAAAGCUAAAUAUCGGCGAGAGACCGAUAGCGAACAAGUACCGUGAGGGAAAGAUGAAAAGAACUUUGAAAAGAGAGUUAAACAGUACGUGAAAUUGUCAAAAGGGAAGCGUUUGACACCAGUGUUGUUUUUCCGAAAAUCAAUUACGAAUGUUUUGUUUUUAAGGAGUUAUGACUUCAUCGGCUUGCUUCUUUCUUUACGAAACUUUCUUAAUGCACUUUUCGGUUAACAAGUCAACAUCAAUUUCUUUUGUUGUAAAAGGGUAUGAGGAAGGUGGCUUUCUUUUCGGAGAAAGUGUUUAUAGCCUUGUGCCUCUGCAAUCGGAGAGAUUGAGGUCUGCAGCGUAGAUCCUUCGGGGUUAGAUACGUUGGUGCUAAGUUAUAGCUUUUCAUAGACAACUUGUUGACUAUGUUUAGUCUUGUAGCUUACUCGCUGACGCUAUUUUACCUACGCUUAGGAUGUUGACGCGCGUGUGUGCGUG
rnacentral:rRNA from 1 species